AAGUCGUAACAAGGUUUCCGUAGGUGAACCUGCGGAAGGAUCAUUAAUGUAAUAAUCAUUUUACAUAUUGAUAUGAUUGGGGUUAAUGUGUGUUGUGUUAAUAAUAUUAUAUCAAAGUCUAUCUAAACCAACAAGGUUUAUUCAUAUGUUGUCAUAUAUAUGGUUUGAUAGACUUUACUUUAUUUAUUUUAUUUCAUUUAAUUUGAAAUAAAAUAUGAACGAAUAUCAUCCAUUUCAAUAUUGCAUGCGCUACUUAUAUAGAGCGUAAUGUAAAAUAAAUAAAUAAAUAAAUUUACCCUAAGCGGGGGAUCACUUGGUUCGUGG
rnacentral:misc_RNA from 1 species